UAGGCCUUAGAUGGGUCUAAAUUGGCCGAAAAAGGAGGCAAAUGAUCAGGCCUAAGAAACUCUCUUACUGCAUAUUCCACAGCUUUAUAUUUUACCCAUUUAUUGGACUUAAUUUUCACUCUUCCAACUUACCAAAAUUCCCCAAACCACAGUAUAAGACUCCUCGCCAAUCCGAGAACUUGCCCCAUCAGCCUCUAACUGCAUGCC
rnacentral:lncRNA from 1 species